AUGGCUUAGUGAGAUCUCCGGAUUGGCGCUUGGGAGCCGGCAACGGCACCCUUUUGCUGAGAAGCUGAUCAAACUUGGUCAUUUAGAGGAAGUAAAAGUCGUAACAAGGUUUCCGUAGGUGAACCUGCGGAAGGAUCAUUAGUGAAUUGAGCUGGCUUCGGCCGCUCUGAUCUACACACCUGUGAACCGUUGGCCUCAGGGUCUUAACUACAACUGUGACGAAUGUAACUUAUUAUAACAAAUAAAACUUUCAACAACGGAUCUCUUGGCUCUCGCAUCGAUGAAGAACGCAGCGAAAUGCGAUAAGUAAUGUGAAUUGCAGAAUUCAGUGAAUCAUCGAAUCUUUGAACGCACCUUGCGCCCGUUGGUAUUCCGACGGGCAUGCCUGUUUGAGUGUCGUGAACAACCUCAACCUUGAUUGGUUCCAAUCAAGGCUUGGACUUGGGUGCUGCCGCUGCGAAGCGGCUCACCUUAAAAUCAUUAGCUGGACUUGUCUAUGACUUGGUUCGACUCGGUGCAAUAAGUAUUCACCGGGGACAGAGUAAUCUGGCCAAGGCUUGAUGCCGUCUGCUUCCAACACUGUUCUCACUACGAGACACUACUUUACUGUGUGGCCUCAAAUCAGGUAGGAUUACCCGCUGAACUUAAGCAUAUCAAUAAGCGGAGGAAAAGAAACUAACAAGGAUUCCCCUAGUAACGGCGAGUGAAGCGGGAAGAGCUCAAAUUUGUAAUCUGGUGGACUCAGUCCAUCCGAGUUGUAAUCUAUAGAAGUGUUUUCCGCGCCGGACCGUGUCUAAGUCCCUUGGAACAGGGUGUCAGAGAGGGUGAGAAUCCCGUGCUUGAUACGACCACCGGUGCUAUGUGAUACACUUUCAACGAGUCGAGUUGUUUGGGAAU
rnacentral:rRNA from 1 species